rnacentral:ncRNA from 1 species
GAUUCGCUUUCCGAACUGUCACCGUAUGGUGCGCGUGUCUGGGACAACCAGAAUAGGAGGCGAAUUUUUA